CCUGAGCCUUGUACACACCGCCCGUCAAGCCAUGGGAGUCGGGAGUACCUUAAGUCGCCGACCGAACCGCAAGGACGGAGGCGCCCAAGGUAAAACCGAUGACUGGGACU
rnacentral:rRNA from 1 species